UGUGGACGAGGAUUACAGAGUUCGUCACGCAACGUCAAAGUUUUCGUUUCCUCUGGUGCGACCCCCUCUCUCCCUCUUUAAAUGGUGAAGAGUAUAUACUUCUCAGCAGGAGUACCGGCCAUCUCUCCUGGAUCAAAAACUCAGUUCUGGAAUAUCUACCAGCUCACUCUCCAUUUCCCCCAACCUGACAUGUUUUCUGUAAUAAAACUCUCAUGAUUGCCACUUUCUGGGAUUUCCCUACCUCGUUGACUGAGCAUCUGCAGUCUGUAGAUAAGUCAGCUGGCUCUACAGUCCUCUCCC